GCUGGGCAUGGUGGUGCAUGCCUGUAGUUCCAGCUACUCUGGAGGCUGAGACAGGAGGAUCACUUGCGCCCAGGAGUUUGAGGCUGCUGUGAGCUAUGAUCAUACCACUGCACUCCAGCCUGGGUGACAGAGCAAAACCUGUCUCUA
rnacentral:SRP_RNA from 2 species